rnacentral:rRNA from 1 species
GGGCGGGACACGUGGUAUCCUGUCUGAAUAUGGGGGGACCAUCCUCCAAGGCUAAAUACUCCUGACUGACCGAUAGUGAACCAGUACCGUGAGGGAAAGGCGAAAAGAACCCCGGCGAGGGGAGUGAAAAAGAACCUGAAACCGUGUACGUACAAGCAGUGGGAGCCUCUUUAUGGGGUGACUGCGUACCUUUUGUAUAAUGGGUCAGCGACUUAUAUUCUGUAGCAAGGUUAACCGAAUAGGGGAGCCGAAGGGAAACCGAGUCUUAACUGGGCGUUAAGUUGCAGGGUAUAGACCCGAAACCCGGUGAUCUAGCCAUGGGCAGGUUGAAGGUUGGGUAACACUAACUGGAGGACCGAACCGACUAAUGUUGAAAAAUUAGCGGAUGACUUGUGGCUGGGGGUGAAAGGCCAAUCAAACCGGGAGAUAGCUGGUUCUCCCCGAAAGCUAUUUAGGUAGCGCCUCGUGAAUUCAUCUCCGGGGGUAGAGCACUGUUUCGGCAAGGGGGUCAUCCCGACUUACCAACCCGAUGCAAACUGCGAAUACCGGAGAAUGUUAUCACGGGAGACACACGGCGGGUGCUAACGUCCGUCGUGAAGAGGGAAACAACCCAGACCGCCAGCUAAGGUCCCAAAGUCAUGGUUAAGUGGGAAACGAUGUGGGAAGGCCCAGACAGCCAGGAUGUUGGCUUAGAAGCAGCCAUCAUUUAAAGAAAGCGUAAUAGCUCACUGGUCGAGUCGGCCUGCGCGGAAGAUGUAACGGGGCUAAACCAUGCACCGAAGCUGCGGCAGCGACACUAUGUGUUGUUGGGUAGGGGAGCGUUCUGUAAGCCUGUGAAGGUGUGCUGUGAGG